UACGGAGGGUGCAAGCGUGAUCCGGAAUUACUGGGUUUAAAGGGUGUGUAGGCGGGCUUUUAAGUCAGUGGUGAAAUCCUGAGGCUUAACCUCAGAACUGCCAUUGAUACUAUUAGUCUUGAAUAUCGUUGAGGUAUGCGGAAUACAUCAUGUAGCGGUGAAAUGCUUAGAUAUGAUGUGGAACACCAAUUGCGAAGGCAGCAUACUAGGCGAUUAUUGACGCUGAGGCACGAAAGCGUGGGGAGCAAACAGG
rnacentral:rRNA from 1 species